rnacentral:lncRNA from 1 species
AUGGUCUAUCAAGGCCUGUACAUGUCUGGCCUUUGUGGCUAUUUCUGUAUGGUCUUUCGAGGCCUGUCUGUGUCUGCCUAUCGUGGCUAUUUCUGUACAAUCUAUCGAGACCUGUCCGUGUCCGGCUAUCAUGGCUAUUUUUCUGUACGGUCUAUUAAGGCCUGUCCCAUGUCUGCCUAUUGUGGCUGUCUGUGUCUGGCCUAUCGUGGCUAUUUCUGUACGGCCUAUCAAGGCCUGUCCAUGUCCGGCCAUCAUGGCUAUUUUUCUGUACGGUCUAUUGAGGCCUGUCCUGUGUCUGCCUAUUGUGGCUAUUUCUGUACGGCCUAUUGGGGCCUGUCUGCGUCUGCCAUUGUGGCUGUCUGCGUCUGGCCUAUCGUGGCUAUUUAUGUACGGUCUAUCGAGGCCUGUCUGCAUCUGCCUAUCGUGGCUAAUCAUGGACUAUCGAGGCCUGUCUUGCGUCUGCCUAUCGUGGCUGUCUGCGUCUGGCCUAUUGUGGCUAUUUCUGUACGGUCUAUCGAGGCCUGUCCGUGUCUGCCUAUCGUGGCUGUCUGCGUCUGGCCUAUUGUGGCUAUUUCCGUUGGUCUAUCGAGGCCUGUCCGUGUCUGGCUAUCAUGGCUAUUUUUCUGUAUGGUCUAUCGAGGCCUAUCUGUGUCUGGCCAUCAUGGCUAUUUCUGUACGGUCUAUCGAGGCCUGUCUGCGUCUGCCUAUUGUGGCUGUCUGCGUCUGGCCUAUCGUGGCUAUUUAUGUAUGGUCUAUCGAGGCCUGUCUGUGUCUGGCUAUCAUGGCUAUUUUUCUGUACGGUCUAUCGAGGCUGUCUGUGUUCUGCCUAUCAUGGCUAUUCUGUAUGGUCUAUCGGGGCCUGUCUGUGUCUGCCUAUCGUGGCUGUCUGCGUCUGGCCUAUCGUGGCUAUUUAUGUACGGUCUAUUGGGGCCUGUCUGUGUCUGCCUAUCGUGGCUGUCUGCGUCUGGCCUAUCGGGCUAUUUAUGUUCGGCCAAUUGGGGCCUGGUCUGCGUCUGGCCUAUCGUGGCUAUUUAUGUUCGGCCUAUCGGGGCCUGUCCGUGUCUGCCGAUCAUGGCUAUUUCUGUUGGUCUAUCGAGGCCUGUCUGUGUCUGCCUAUCGUGGCUAUUUCUGUUGGUCUACCGAGGCCUGUCUGUGUCUGCCUAUCGUGGUUAUUUCUGUUGGUCUAUCGAGGCCGGUCCGUGUCUGCCUAUCGUUGCUGUCUGUGUCUGGCCUAUUGCGGCUAUUUCUGUAAAAACUUAUAAGAAGUUUAAUCUAACGUCAUUAUACUGGUCAUGCUAA